rnacentral:lncRNA from 1 species
CCUUCUUCUCCAGCAAUCAAAAUCGGCUAAUCUAUUCCCCUGUAUCUGCAUCAAAGACUUGCCUGGAGAAAUUACUUGAAGCUCCUAAUGCAUAUAAGUGGAUUAAGGACCCAAUCAACGAACGAAUAGUUAAAGGAAGGCGUUUUAUGCUUCAACCAUAGCCAAGACUUGAGUUGAGCCUUUUGGAAGACUUCCUCCACGUCUACUACCCCAUGCUGGAAAACAAUCAUGUUUCUUUGAUCCCAUAUGCUCCUAAUAACAUUUGCCCAAACACCUUUCCAUAGUAGAUUUUGUUUGCUACUAACUUGGAAUAAGAAAAAGCUUUGAAAAUGCACCUUUAAAUCAUUAUGCUGGACAGAUAAAAUACCUAUCCAAUUAAAGCACAAAGACCAUA